rnacentral:rRNA from 1 species
CCACACGACUCUCGGCAACGGAUAUCUCGGCUCUCGCAUCGAUGAAGAACGUAGCGAAAUGCGAUACCUGGUGUGAAUUGCAGAAUCCCGCGAACCAUCGAGUCUUUGAACGCAAGUUGCGCCCGAGGCCAUUCGGUUGAGGGCACGCCUGCCUGGGCGUCACG